AACGAACGCUGGCGGCAGGCCUAACACAUGCAAGUCGAGCGAGAUCAUCGGGUCUAGCGGCGGACGGGUGAGUAACGCGAGGGAAUAUGCCCUUCUCUGCGGAAUAGCCUCGGGAAACGGAGCAUAAUACCGCAUACGCCCUUUGGGGGAAAGAUAUAUCGGAGUAGGAUUAGCCCGCGUUGGAUUAGGUAGUUGGUAGGGUAAUGGCCGACCAAGCCGACGAUCCAUAGCUGGUUUGAGAGGAUGAUCAGCCACACUUGGACGGAGACACGGCCCAGACUCCUACGCGAGGCAGCAGUGGGGAAUCUUAGACCAUGGGGGCAACCCUGAUCUAGCCAUGCCGCGUGAGUGAUGAAGGCCUUAGGGUUGUAAAGCUCUUUCAGCUGGGAAGAUAAUGACGGUACCAGCAGAAGAAGCCCCGGCUAACUCCGUG
rnacentral:rRNA from 1 species